AUUGAACGCUGGCGGCAUGCCUUACACAUGCAAGUCGAACGGCAGCACGGGGCAACCUGGUGGCGAGUGGCGAACGGGUGAGUAAUGUAUCGGAGCGUACCUUUCAGUGGGGGAUAACGUAGCGAAAGUUACGCUAAUACCGCAUAUUCUGUGAGCAGGAAAGCAGGGGAUCUUAGGACCUUGCGCUGAUUGAGCGGCCGAUAUCAGAUUAGCUAGUUGGUGAGGUAAAGGCUCACCAAGGCGACGAUCUGUAGCGGGUCUGAGAGGAUGAUCCGCCACACUGGAACUGAGACACGGUCCAGACUCCUACGGGAGGCAGCAGUGGGGAAUUUUGGACAAUGGGCGCAAGCCUGAUCCAGCCAUGCCGCGUGAGUGAAGAAGGCCUUCGGGUUGUAAAGCUCUUUCAGCCGGGAAGAAAACGCAUGGGUUAAUACCCUGUGUGGAUGACGGUACCGGAAUAAGAAGCACCGGCUAACUACGUGCCAGCCGCCGCAGUAAGAC
rnacentral:rRNA from 1 species